CCUACGGGAGGCAGCAGUGAGGAAUAUUGGUCAAUGGCCGGAAGGCUGAACCAGCCAUGCCGCGUGAAGGUCAGUGCCCUUUGGGCGUUAAACUUCUUUUGUGCGGGAGCAAUAAUGGUCACGUGUGGCCAGACGAGAGUACCGUACGAAUAAGCAUUGGCUAACUCCGUGCCAGCCGCCGCGGUAAUACGGGGGAGGCAAGCGUUAUCCGGAUUUAUUGGGUUUAAAGGGUGUGUCGGCUGUGAGGUAAGUCAGCGGUGAAAUGCCCCGGCGCAACGGGGUGAAGGGCCAUUGAUACUGCCUUGCUGGAAUGCGGAUACCGUGGGAGGAAUGUGUGGUGUAGCGGUGAAAUGCAUAGAUAUCACACAGAACACCGAUUGCGAAGGCAUCUCACGAAUCCGCGAUUGACGCUGAUGCACGAAAGCGUGGGUAUCAAACAGGAUUAGAUACCCUUGUAGUC
rnacentral:rRNA from 1 species